CUAACACUCCCUUCGUUCGAAAAAGCUUGUCCCUCAGAUGGAUAUAUCUAGCACCAAAUUAGUGCUAGAUACAUCCAUUUGAGAAACAAGUUUGAGACAAGCUUUUCCGGACGGAGGGAGUAUCAA
rfam:Triticum aestivum genome assembly, contig: Triticum_aestivum_CS42_TGACv1_scaffold_061695_1DL